rnacentral:rRNA from 1 species
UACGUAGGGUGCAAGCGUUAAUCGGAAUUACUGGGCGUAAAGCGUGCGCAGGCGGUUAUGUAAGACAGAUGUGAAAUGCCCGGGCUUUAACCUGGGAACUGCAUUUGUGACUGCAUGGCUAGAGUUUGGCAGAGGGGGGUAGAAUUCCACGUGUAGCAGUGAAAUGCGUAGAUAUGUGGAGGAACACCGAUGGCGAAGGCAGCCCCCUGGGUCAAGACUGACGCUCAUGCACGAAAGGCGUGGGGAGCAAACAGG